CCUACGGGAGGCAGCAGUGAGGAAUAUUGGUCAAUGGGCGCGAGCCUGAACCAGCCAAGUCGCGUGAGGGAGGACGGCCCUACGGGUUGUAAACCUCUUUUGCCGGGGAGCAACGUGCGUCACGUGUGGCGCCCCUGAGAGUACCCGGAGAAAAAGCCUCGGCUACCUCCGUGCCUGCAGCCGCGGUAAUACGGAGGAUGCGAGCGUUAUCCGGAUUUACUGGGUGUAAAGGGACAGAAGGCGGCGUGGCAAGUCAGAUGUGAAAACCCGGGGCCCAACCCCGGGAGUGCAUGUGAAACUGCCAUGCUGGAGUGCAGGAGAGGUAAGCGGAAUUCCUAGUGUAGCGGUGAAAUGCGUAGAUAUUAGGAGGAACACCAGUGGCGGAGGCGGCUUACUGGACGGUAACUGACGCUGAGGCUCGAAAGCGUGGGGAGCAAACAGGAUUAGAUACCCGGGUAGUC
rnacentral:rRNA from 1 species